rnacentral:rRNA from 1 species
GGCGGCAUGCCUUACACAUGCAAGUCGAACGGCAGCGCGGGAGCAAUCCUGGCGGCGAGUGGCGAACGGGUGAGUAAUACAUCGGAACGUGCCCAAUCGUGGGGGAUAACGCAGCGAAAGCUGUGCUAAUACCGCAUACGAUCUACGGAUGAAAGCAGGGGACUCGCAAGAGCCUUGCGCGAAUGGAGCGGCCGAUGGCAGAUUAGGUAGUUGGUGAGGUAAAGGCUCACCAAGCCUUCGAUCUGUAGCUGGUCUGAGAGGACGACCAGCCACACUGGGACUGAGACACGGCCCAGACUCCUACGGGAGGCAGCAGUGGGGAAUUUUGGACAAUGGGCGAAAGCCUGAUCCAGCCAUGCCGCGUGCAGGAUGAAGGCCUUCGGGUUGUAAACUGCUUUUGUACGGAACGAAAAGUCUCUUUCU